UGAAAUCUCACCAGGCCCGGACACUGGAAGGAUUGACAGAUUGAUAGCUCUUUCUUGAUUCGGUGCGUGGUGGUGCAUGGCCUUUCUUAGUUGGUGGAGUGAUUUGUCUGGUUAAUUCCGUUAACGAACGAGACCUUAACCUGCUAAAUAGUGACGCGGUUCAUCGAACCGUGGGCCACUUCUUAGAGGGACUAUCGGAUUCAAACCGAUGGAAGUGUGAGGCAAUAA
rnacentral:rRNA from 1 species